CUCAUUGAUGACUAAUUACUAUGAGAAGUCUAAUUACUAUGAUAGGCACUGUCUGUGGGUUUUAUCAGAGGCCACUCCAAGGAAAGGCAAGUGUACGGACCCAAGAUGGCUGUCUUUUUUUUACAGUCAUAAGCUGUGUGUGCCACUCACAAGAGCAAAGGUGGGACUAAAGGCUGGCAAUUAAGUUACUGCAAACAUAGCUGUUUAAAUGAAAGUGAAGCCUAAGGAGCUUCACUUCACUAAAGGAGCUUCCUUCACUAAAGGAGCCCUGCUCCUUUAGAAAACUGGGCAUCGAGGUUAGUUUUGAAGACAGGUGAGAAAAGAUGGUAUGUGUAUGGGGACUGUUAGGUCAGGGCCUGAACGAGUGAUUAAGCACCUGGUGAAAGGACUUGGCCAGCCCUGGGUGCACAGGUGCAAGCAAUUUACCCUGGGUCCACCUCUCCCAAACCUCAGUGAAGGGCUGGCAGCUGCAGGGGAAGCAGCACUACUUGGAGAUCAGCUUUUGGGGGGAUUUUCAGGGAGCUCUGAUCUUCAGAAAGAGUUGUCGACUACUGUGCUCACACUGGUUCAGAUGCUGUGCUUCUCCUGUGAGAAACCUGUGCAAGUUUCCAGAGUGUAAGAGAUUACUGCUGCUCAGGGAGCAACAUCACAGACACAGUAGAGAUAAGUGGAUUUGUGCCUUAAUGAUUCCCUUUACUCCAUACUCUUCUCCUUUAAGCAAAUGAAAUCUGUAUAAGAAAUGACUCUAUGUAAAGUUAAAGUGGGGGAAGAAAGGGUUGAAAUAAUAUUCAGAAAGCCAUUCUAAGCUAGGUGCGAGCCUGGAAGUGAUGUCACUAAAUAAUAUGUAAAUUCUCUGAAUUUUUUCAUCCUUUCCAAAAGAACUCUUUUCCCCAGAAAAUUCCCUUCAUUGCUUGCUUUAGUUAGGUUUACAGUGAAUGUUUGUGUCAUAAGUCAUACUCUGUUGACCAAAGGAACGGUUGCUAUUGACUGCAGUCAGAAGAGAUUGAAACUUUGGUUCCUUUUGAAAGAAAAGGAAUUGUUACUGUGCAGCAAAGCUGAUCAGCUGGGUGAAAGGGACAUUUUCUACAACUGACAGGAGGCAACCAGAGGUGAAUGUCAGGGAGCCUGAAUCUGGGGAGCAGGGCAGCCACCAAGUCUUGACAUCUCAGCAUCUGCUCCUAUUUGGUAGACUCCUGUAUUUACUGCUGCAGCACUGACUUUGCUUGUUAGGACUACAACUGCUGGUUCAGGGGUCUGCAACACCAGCAUGUUGGAAGAGGUAGGACUGUUUACAGACUUAGUAUUAGGUGUACAUUUAAACAAUUCACUAAUUCAAGCUUCUCAUCCCAGUUUUCUUCCUGAGAAAAAAUACUACUUUUGUCUAUAGCAUGCAAUCAGAUCUGCAUUUAAUCUCACAUUGGCUGAUGUGUACUACCCCCCAGCAUGUAAAGGAAAUGCUUACAUACAAAUAACUACCUUUAUUUUAGGGAUGUGACUUGCUUCACUAAUUCCCCAGGAUAUUUAUUUAUAAAAAAUUACUUUCAGAGCCUUUUAGUGCAUUGACCUUGUUUCAGGGUUUAGAUGGGAAGAGGGAGGGCUGGAGUUUUUUCUUAAACGCUGCAGGGGAUUUCUGUCAGGUUGCUUUAACACUUCAUCUCAGAUUCUUGCCAGGCUUUUGGGCUAAAGAAUUUUCAAAUGCAGCUAGCCGUCAUCACAUAGCUCUUGCGUUUGUACAGCAGUAUCUGCAGAAGCCUAUCAAAUAUGGGCUAAUGCUGAGAUGUCAAGGCCUUGGUGGCUGCUCUUUGUUUUAUAAAUAUAAAAUUGAUUUGGCUUUCAUGCGAUGAGAAAGCAAGAGGACUUAAGAAUAGAGGCACCAGAUAAGCAUCAUAAAUGCGUACAUCACUUUUAGUGUAUCAGGUGUGGAUGUUGUAGUGACCACUCUAUGGACUGAGUCUGUGCAUUAUAGCAGUUUCCUAUGCAAAGAUGCGGAAUGUUGUUAUUCCCCUAAAGAGCAGGAGAGCAGAGAAAGGGAUGUGCUGUGCUGCUGAAUUUUCCUUUCAAAAACCUAAGGGUUUCAUAGCAAUAGGUCACCACAUUUAGAAUCACUAAAACACUCAUGCUGUAAAAACACAGAACUCGUAGUCUUCUUUACCCCACUGAGGGUUAGCACUGCAAGGGCUGUUAACGAUUCCUUUUGCUUUCUCUUACUGAGUGUUUUCACAUAUAUAUCUACAGAAAAUGAAACAUGAUAUAACAUGCAUGGAAAAUACAAGCAUGUACUACCCAAACCUCAUUCUCCAACUAAAGUAUCUAUUGUUUAAUAACAGAAGGUGCGUAGGGAUUUUUUGGGUGGAUUACUGAGUUGAAGUGUAUUUCGUGCCCCCAAAAUAACAGCUUACAUGCAGACCAUAGGUGUCCAACCUUUUGGCUUAUCUACGCCUUACUGAGCCCAAGAGGAAUCAUCUUGGGCUGCAUAUAAAAUAAAAUAUGUAACAAAAAUUAUUUUUAUUAUUUUUUUUAGUAAAACAUUUUAAAAGGGAAACAAACACACAAGACUAGUGGGUUGGACACAUGAUCUAGGCCAUGAGAAGGUCCCACAUAUCUCUGGGCAGCAACUUUGGAUUAAAGGAACUCUAUUGAAAUGGCAAAUUCCUACUACUUCUCACAGUAGAGCAGGUAGAACUGUUAUUCUCUCCUGUUACUUCCUGAUGUUUGAACUCAGUCCCUCAUUCCUCUACCAUUGCUUCUCGGUGUCACCCAGGGCUAUACAUAUGGCAACUGCACACACAGUCCUACUUGCAGAUGGGGCUUAGGCUAAAUGCUAGGCUUUGUGGCAUUUCUGUGCUAAUCUCUGAAGGCUUUUGGAUACACCCCUGAGGCAGUGCACUUCUAGAACCCCUGCUUGGCCAGACAGAAGUUCGGCUUCCCUGGGGUUAAAUCCCAAGAAGAUUUCAGUGGUAGUUAAGUUGGAUGUAGGCAGGUGGAAGUGUACAGCACUGCAAAAUGUAACUCCAUUGCCUCUUGGUUUUACUAAUGCCUCAAAGGAGGGCUGGCUCAUUCUAAGUGCAGUGCAAUAUCUAAGUAGAAAAAGAGAUGUUUGGAAAAAUCAUUCAUUAUAUUUUUCAGAAUAAAGCAAUCACAUCUUCCUUAGCAGAGAAUGCAAAGAAAGCUGUAAAUAUCACAGCUGCUCACUGGCAACUAGGAAAAAAAAAGAGUCAAAUUCAAAGCUUGCCACUUCUAUUCACAGUGAAUGACUUAGGAGUCAAAAGAAGAACAGGGUGUGUACAGUCUGAAGAGAAUAUUGCUGGUAGAAUUCUAAGGAUGCCUCCUAAAACUGGCAAUUGCUCACCAUGUCAGCUGGAAUAAAGUUUGUCACAUUGUAUGUCCAGAUGCAAUAUGGUGAUAUAUGCAAUUUCAGUCACUCUUUCCAAAUUGUGGGCUUUAUCUGAAAUGCUCUCAUACCCCAAACUGUCUGCAUUUUCAUUAAAAGAAUGAAUGUUCCUGUCAUCAUCUUGGUAGGAACGCCAACAGGAAAUAAGCUACCUCUAAAUGAAAAGAUGCAUUUUAUUGUUUGCAAAGCUGGGGAAAUAUGAAUCAAACUUACAACUUGGCUGGCAGGUGGUUUGUUUGGAGUAUGGAAUUAGUGCCUUUGUAGGGGUCUGACAAAUAGCCUGGGGUCUCAGACAAUGCACUGGCAUCCUGGUGGCUGCAUGAUCUUACAGAGAGCAUUAACUUCUCUGUGCCUCAGUUUCUUCAUCAGUAAAACUGUGAUAAUCAUUUUCUGCUGGAGUUUCCAGCUAAUAGGCUUGUUAUGCCCUGCAAAGCACUCAGAGAUCUCCAUCUGGAACAAACUACAGAAGUGCAAGUAUUAUUGCUAUUAGAAGUCCAUUACAGCUCUGUUUUGCUUUGUUCGUACUGGCCCUUUGGUACGUGCAGCUAGACAGCUCCUAAUGUUAUCUUGAUGCACAAAGCACUUUUUGUGUGAGGUUUGACUCACACUAAAAUGCCAGUUAGAAUUUUGUCCUCGGGAACUCACUGGAGCUUGGCUUACAGAAUCUGAAAAUUAAAUCAACCAAAAUAGGUCAAACACAAAACUAUAUGUCCUUAUGUGUCCUCUUGUCCUCUUUAGCAGUAUAGCGCAUAGUUGUUGUUUUCUUAUCUGUAAAGUUUGGGCCUGUUUUGUUCCUCAGCCAGCUUUGCUACUGAUAUCUUGGUUACAUUUUGAAUACCUGCUCUUGAGAAUUUUCUGUUCCCAUUAAAUAUAGUUUAGAAGGACACGCUCAUCUGUUAGUGGUCCAGAAAUAACGUGCUGAAUGCACCAGCAGCUGAUGCGACUGAACGUGAUACAAAAGUGUAUCAUUCUGUUAGAGUUUGUUGGUAGGCAUCAUUAUGGAAAUGUUUUUGAGCCUUAAAAAAGGGAAUAGUGUAUCGGAAAUUGAAUCAAACGUUAACAGAAGCUGCAGUUUGUGGUUUACUUUUCCCUCGCAGCUAGUUCUUUAGGAAUUAUUCCUGUUCACAUAAUCCCUUAAGUUAAUGUAUUUAUUCCGUGCGUGCUUUAUAAUUUCUAUUCAUUCAUAUGUCAAGUAGCUGAAGGUGCUGCUUCAAUUAGUAUUUACUUCAGUGUUAUACUGUUUUGAAUUGGUUGUUUGUUACAGUCACAAUGCAGUGAAUAAACGUGUUAAUAUUUGAAGUGGGAAGGGAGGUAAAAUGGGAAACCGUCUGCUCCAGUCGCGGCCCAGCUUUCUGGUUACAACAUAUUAUAAUUUAUUUAAACCCAAUCAAUACUUAAUCUGGAGUUUAAACUCCGCUAAAGAUCUGUGGCAUAGCUAAAAGCAGCUGAUGCCAAAGAAAAAAAAUUUCUUCAGGCUGUGAUUCUGAUGAAUUUAUAAUGCGCUCUAAGGGUGAUGCAUUGACCUAAAUUCACAGAAGCGCCGCAAUUCGUAUUUAUUAUUGUGAAAGGUGUCCUACCAACACUUUUCUUCUUCUGAAUGUUGAGAGCCUGUGUGAGAAAGAUGGGUGGCUGCAGAGGAAGGAGCUGCACGCACAGCCCGGGAGGGUGGGAUGGGACUGAGCGCGGCCCUGUGCCGCACACCGGGCGGUGAGUCACUGUGACCCCGAGAUUCAAGGCAGGAAUUAAUUCAGCACUGCAAAAAUCUGGCAAAUGUUUGAAGCCAGCAGUGAAAGCAGACUUCCUGAGAGGUGUGUGUUUGUGGUGACAAUUUGGAUUUAUUUUGCUGGCAAUGCAAAAGACAUUGUUACAGCAGGAAGAAGACAGUUGUGUUAAAAACUGCUUCUCUUUUUUAGUUCUCCCCCCCCCAGCCUUUCUGGGGAAAUAGAUUGUGAUCUCUGCGGGGUUUGGUUUUCUCUGUACAGCUCUUUAAACUCCCCCAGGCACAGCCAUCUCAGGGCAGGGCCCACGGGCAGCUCCUACCAGCACUGCAGGGAUGUGCACACACCAUUCUCUUGUAAGGUCUGGGCAACCUCAUAUUUCCCAGCACAUUUUGGCAAGCUUUUACUCAGAGUGGUCCAACAGCUUUUCAUAGUAAGUGAAUGACUUCCCAGUGACCUGAGCCCUCUUCCAAGCCUCCUUUGUCACCCUGACAGCUUGCAGUCAUGCUUUUCUGAUCUUGUGCAAAGCUAUAUGUUUUACCAGAUCUGUAACUGCAGGAGACUUGGUUGUUCUGAAAAUUAACUGGAUGAAUAAGGGAAAUGUAUAGUGGAUAAAGGCUGACAAUCAUCCCCACUUCUUUUAUGAUACAAUGCCCUGCCCUCAUGAGAAGCGAGAAGAGCUCAAUUCUCCCUCCUAAUUGAUAGGUGCAUACUUGUCAGAUGUGGUUUCCCCAGGCAGUCUGUAAGGCAGGACUCACCCCCACACACCGUUCAUCCCCAGUCCCUCACCUGUGUGCUUCUGGGGCAUCACAUCAGACACUCUCCCAGCAUGUGUCUUCUUGCUCUAUUUUGUGCCCGCCUCUGCCCAUAUUGCUGCUGUAGUGGUUUAUGCCAGAAUAAAUAUGGGCUAGCAUAAAUCCUCAGGCUUGGAAGGCAUUAGCCUGCCUUUACUGUAGCACAAUCGACAGCUGUACCUGGCACCACGACCUCAUUGCACCCCAGCGUGGCAGCAUCCAGAGCCUUGAUGCAUUGGAGGAGCAGAGCCACAUGCUUGCUGAGGUUUGUUCCUCUGGGCUGGCCCUGAGGAUGAGAACAGCAUGCAAACACAGCUUCUCAGCAGGAGCAACUAUUAGUUUCAGCUUUAACCUUUACUUAAAAAUAUGAAGCUGCUGAGCAAAAAUGCAAAGGCUUAGUGUUCAAACUCACGCCUAACUCAGAGAGCUGGGUUCCUAGAACCAACUGUGAAUUUCAGUUUAGCAGCAAGGAAGUUUAUGUUCAACUUCAGUUUUUCUUCCAGCUAUAAUGCUCAAAGGGAGUACUUCAGUAUCUGUCUUGCUUUUUGUUAGGGAGAUGAAACAAAACAAAACACCAUUUGUCAUAAUUCUUUGGGAUUGCUAUUAUGGCCAGGAGAAAAGAGGGCUUCUGCUAGUUCAUGUACGAGUCAAAAGAAAGGCAUAUUCCUUUCCCCACAGGAUCCCAAGCGGAAGAGUUGGUGGAUAGGUAAGAUAAAAAUGGGUAUAGAUUGUGAGAGACAGGCUGACAAAAAAAAGUGCGUGCAGUUUUUUCACUAUUCUAGAGCAGUAAUUGUACUUUGCUUACAUACCUAAGCAUGUUUAGGUGGCAAUUUUCUUUCCUUGUAACAGAAGAGGUGACUUUCAAGAGAAUAAUCUGAAGGAGGUUGUGGUGGAUGACUGUUUUCCUUGUUGUUGGUUUUUUUUGUUUGUUUGUUUUGUUUUGUUUCUUUAAAUUCAGAAUGUUUUUUACCAGGUCAACAGGCCAAUUUCUCUCCAUUGUUCACAAAGCUAUUGGGUAUUUUUUUUUUCCUUCCCACUGUGCCUUGAAAAAACAACUUCACUUAAGUUCAUGUGUGAAACCUUUUGCACAACAGAAGUGGUUUCUUGUGGCCAGUAAGAAUAAAUGUUCUGAGCAUUCCAGGAAGCAUAUAAAUAGACUGAUACUCUUCCUAAGGUUAUAGAGCAUUAUUUCUCCCUUUUUUUCUUUAUUUCUCCUCCUGUCCUACUCCCCUACUUUCAGUUACGCUCUCUCCAUCUAGGCAAAGACCAAACAAAGUGCAGUGUUUGAAAAUCCUGACCAUCAUUUUCCAUUUUACUUGGGUUUUUCUCAGUUACAUGUUCUGAAUAGAAAUUGUUCGAGUAAAUGCAGCACAGUAAAUUAUCUUAAAUUACUUCUUAUAGUCCAGACUAGUAUUAUAACAUGAAAAUUGUUACUUGGAGUCUCCCACGCCCCUGGCUGCUGCAGACCUGUGUCUCCAGGCUGGGGAGAAAUGGAUCACAGUACUUAUCCAGCAGAGCCUGCAGGCCAAUCCACAAUGUGGAAAGUGGAGUUCGCAUAAAGGAGGUCUCUUAUCCUUUCCUCUCAAUCCUGCUAGAUAUAGCAAAGCUGUCACAAUGGUCAAAUAUAAUUAAAAUGGUGAUCUGCCACUGAAGGGUAGGCCAAUGUCUAUGCAGAAACCAGAUGAGGAAUUAUUCAAGCCAAAAACAUUAAAUCUCAGCUCAUCCGUGGUUACCAUAAAACAGCCAUCCUGUUCCUUUGAUCUAUGAUGAAUUUGAAUGUGUGUUAAUAAGACAUAUAUGUUGGGCAUCAACAUCAUCUUCUGUUGAACGAAGGUAAACACUGCAUUCGUCUCUGUAAAAUAUACUUCAGUAGUUGGGAAGAAAGUGGAGAUUCAUUAUUUUUGCAGUUGUAGAAGACAUUUAGCAGCUGUGUUUAUACUGGCAGACAAUUUGGAUAUUAGGUGGCAGGACAGAGAACUGCAGAUGCACGAUAUCGUGCAGACAUUGUGCACUUACAGCACAUUUCCAGGGAAACAUGUUAUUUUAUAUUUCCCUUGGUGUCAUUAAUCACGUUUCAUGAUGUAUCUCACUAUUUCAACUCAUUCCCCUAGAUUCAUUCAUUUUUUGGCCUGUUUAUUUAAUAGUUAUUGAGCUCCAUUUCAACAAAUUCCAUCUUAACCACAGAUAAUAAAGUUCCUUUUGCUUCAGGGGAGAAAAUUAAGAUGGCCCUGUACUGAUUUCAGGGACUACCUGUAAUAGUCAGCAUGUCUGCUGCAUCAGAAAGAUACUUUGUUUGCCUUUGGUCAGAAAAAUGUUCAUGCUGUUCUUUGCAACUUAAAAAUUAAACUCAUUUCCUGAAAGUAAAAAUAUGAUUCUUAUCUUGAACUAUAAAGGAAAACAGCUGCACUUUAUUCUGUUCUCGAAGUUCUCUAAUCUCUCUGGAGGCUUUGUUUUGGUUUCACAGGUGAAUCCCUUAAACUGCAGCAGCAAUGAUGGCUCCUCCUUGGCAGAAACAUGCUGAGAAGCAGUUGGGAAUCCCCUGCUCUGGAGCUGCAGCCUGAGGAACCUCAGCGUGUAAGAAGCCUCUCUGAGGCACUCACAUGGUGAUGGUUAUACAUCUCCUGCUUACCCCAACUUAGUGAAAGCUGUCUUCAAGCAAAUAAGACUGGCAGCAAGGCUGGGAGUGCAAUCACCUGCUGGCAUAAUCCCUGGACUCUUCUUAAAGGAAUUCUAAAAAGGGAAACUCAGGAAUGCCUACCUGACUGUCCAGAGAACUGCCAUCCAGAGGAGCAUCCUACAGCAGCACAAGCAUUUCAUCUUCUGGAUUUGUGGAGACAUGUGGGAUUUGUUGAUGCUGAAGGCAGGAGGAAGUCAAGGGAGAAAAAAAGAAUUCUGGGAGGAAACUUGGUAAAACUGAAGAUCCAAAGUGAAACAUCAGGAAACAUCACCAAAAUGAAGCCCGUUGGAUGUUUGCAGCUGUUUCUUUAGUCCUGAUUAACAGGGAUUUUCUGAGAAGAGCUGCACAAGUGCAGUCCCCAUUCAACGUACAGAUUUUCCAGAGUGAUCUCCAAGUUGUAAUGGACAACCUCUUUCCUGCCAGCAGAGCCCAGAGAGGAAUAAACCAAGACCACCAGCUAAGUCAUUGUGUAAUGUGCUGUGGAUAUGAGCAUCGAAUGCCCUCAGUGGCAAUGACUCAGGACCAAAUCAUCCUUUUGCGGGAAUUACCUACGAAGGAAACUGGACGCUCCAUGGCAUCUGUGUCAUCCUUCCCUCCAGAUGGUGCCUCCAAAUCUGUUCUGAAAUGGCAUGUGCAAAGCAAACCCAGAGUGCCUAUCAUUCAGCCCUCUGAUGGCAACUCUCAGACAACUCGGGGACAGACAGAACACAAAACCAGAAAUAAGGACUUGCAACCGUGGCUGAAGAUGCCCAGAGAGUCGUGUAUGUAACAGCCAGCGAGAGGCAGAUGACAGCAACAAGAAAUUUCACAGCUCCAAAGAGUGAACGUACCACGGAUUAGUACCGGAGACAGAAAUACUUCUAUGAAAACCAUGAAGGAAGUUCCGGAAUCUAGAGUAACUCUCGGAUGCACAGAACUGGAGACUUAAAAGAUCCUCAGUUCCCCCAGGACCUGAGCAUGUAGAAACGUGGGGGCCUGGCUGUCCUUCUGGUCUGCACGCGUGGCCUCAAGCCCGAAUCCCUACAACAGCAUCUCCACUGGCAGCAAAGCGCUUCUUUGCCCUUUACCACUGAACUGCUGUGGCUUGAUUGUGUGAAACUGAGUUUCAGGAUGCAAGAUACUGUUCAGAUAGUUCUGCAAUACAUUCUUCAGACCCAGCAGCUUUGGCAGGCCCGUGGAUGAUGGAAUAACCAGAUCUCUGCGGCCACCCCUGAAAAACAGAUUCUUUCUUCUGGAUUCCCUGGGAUUCUCUCAGCAGCCAGCCUUGUUUACAGAAGUCAGCGCGGACAGUAACAGCCCUUCACCAAUGAGCCACAGUGGACCCUUUGGGGAAGGCUCCUCACGGUGCUCUGUCAUCUGCUGACAAAGUGGUGCCAGGACCAGAACUUCACAAUGAACUCUGCGGAGAAAAAUCCACAGCAGAUGAAGGAAUCUCGAAGGUAUGGACCUGCAGUAAAACUGCUGUAAGAAAUGAUUUAGUUUAUCUUUAUUCACCUCUGUAAAGGCUGAAGGCUGAGCCUUGUGGCAGGCUGUGAUAUCACCUUCUUAGUCGAGUUAUUUGUUACUGUUUUUUAUGUUUUCUGGUAUUCAAAAAAAAAAAAAGAAAAGAAAAGAAAAAGCUAUAGCUAGGAGUUAUUGGCAGUUCAAACCGACUAACACCAUGUUUGGAAAUGACCUGGAGUGCAGGUAUUUGCUACAGGAGAGCACCUGGAGCAGCUGAUGGGCGCUUAGGUACCGUAGUGCUGCUUUCCUGCCUACGGCCAAGGGACCGGGCGUGCGCAGCAGUGUGCUCUGCACGACCAGAUAGGAAUAGCAGCAAUAUCCAGCACCAAUUCCUUCCCUCUCACUCCUGGUCUGUUUCCAUACGUGGCAGUCAUGCAAUGUGAUUUCAACACGAACCGGGCUCCUGAUGUGAAAGCGUUCUCAGCUUUCAAGUUUAGGUUUAAAAAAACAACACGGAACGGAUGAAGUGAAAUGUUUCCUUUGGACGGCGCUCUGACAAAGGGGAGGAAACCCCUCACUGUGGGAUGGCAGCCGCGGGUCAGGGGCGGGUAAGCAGCGGUUACCGCCAUCCAGAGGAGAGCAGCCAUCAGCCGUCAGAUUGCAUUUUGUUUUGUGAGUGGAAAGGAGAACCCAACCGGUUGGUCUGGUUCGUGCUGAGGCAUCCCAGAGCAGAAAAACAACUCAGUGACAGGUAGACUCAGGCUUAAAGUGAGAGGAUCCCCCACGUCACUGGUUUCAACUAGAGGAUACGUCUGUGCUAUGAGAAUACUCAGUAUGAGAAACGUGCUGCGAAACAGAGGCAGCCAGUUGGAGCAGUGCUUCAGACUAAGCUGAGGUCAGUUUUAGAAUCACAGAACACUUCAGGCUGGACAGGAACUCUUGAUGUCACCUCAAUCCACGCCCUGCUCAAAGAAGGUCUCACUACGUCAGAUCGCUCAAGGCUGCAGCCAGUCAAGUUGAACCCUCAAAUGGGGAGCCUCUGCUGAAUGCUGGUUACUGCAAGAUUCUUAGUAGUGCUAAAAUCUGAACGGAAUCUGGCCUUUGCUCUUUCAUGUACAGCAUUUGAUUAACUGUGAUUCCAAAAGGUUCAGGCACCCAAGUAUGUGCUUAUGUGAGUGGGAGUACAACGUACCUACGCCUACCUACGUGUGCUUACCUACAGACAUUUUUAUUUUCAAUGUUCUGAUUCCAGCGGCCUUUUCAAGAGACAAAAGAAAGUUAAAAAUAAAAUUAGAGCCUAAAAACAAUGGAUUUGCAGUAGCCAGCACAAUGCCAGUCUGCACUGUUGCGAAAGACCUGUGCAUAAACAUUCAUAGGGAUGAAUUCAGAGGUGAUGGGCGACACAGACUGAGGAAAAGGAGCCCAGAGAGUAGGUAAUAAUAAAGAAAAUCAUGAAAAGAGGAAACAGAGAAGGAAAAGCAGCUAAGUGAAAGGUAUGUAACACCUAAUCUAAAGCACAUUUCUCUCUCCUUCAGCGCACACAAAACUUUUACCGGUUCCUUUUUAUGGUUAUUGAAUGCCUACAUUACCUGAAAGUGGAAUUUAUUGAGCUGAGUGUUAAACUCUAAGUUUUACAAAUAAGCUUCCGUACAAAAAUAUUUAUUAUCUGUAACGUACAUCAUCAGCUCUUACACUCCCACUGCGUUCAUCCAUUGUCUCCCAAUACAGUUACCGUGAACGUAUGUCAGAAUAUACGUCAGCCUCAGAAAUACACACUUGUACUGCAGUGACUAUUUUCUAUUCCUUAUUUCUUUGCCUCUAUUUUAAACAACGGAUGUGUACGUUUGCUUAGAACCUAGCUUCUGAAACAGAAGGACAAAAUUACUGGUUCUGACAGCUGUGAAAACAUUUCCAUAAUACAGAAAAUCUAAAUGCCUCUUCAUUCAAUCACUUUCUCAAUGAAAACAUCCCAGGAUUAAAGAAAUCCAGGGAAAGAGAAAAGAUUAACCUAGAAAAGGCAAAUAAGCAAGUGAAUAAAGCUGGGUUUAUUGCUUCCUGCUUCAACAAUGUCCAACAAGAUCUGGGCCAUGGUGCCACAGCUUUCACACGCGUGUGCAGUGGACACAGCUCCCCUGCAUGCAAACAAUGCACCAGCUUGCGUGAAGUGAAUUGGGGCCAGCACAAUUGUUUGAAGGAGGAGGGAUGCACAGUCACUGGAAGCACAGAAGCGCCUUUUCUCUCUGGUUUCAUGCAGCUGACAUACCGAGCAGAGGAGCCAGAGAGAACAUGUAAUGGAAAUAAAUGACUUUGCAGACCCAACGGAAGGAGGUGGGAGCGAAAAAGCAUCCUCACCCCCUGCCCGGCGGCUGCGUAAAUCUGUCCCUGCCAGGAGAGCUCCGGGAGGUGCUCAGCGGCCGCCUCCCCAGGAGUCAGUGAGAGUUCAGGUGCUUACUGUGUCAUCAGGCUUGACCUUCACAUGCGACACUGCCAGGACGUUUGUUUUCCCACAGCAGUGAUUGCUUCAGUCAAUUAUUAUUGCCCAUCGUAGAGUGCAAACACAUAAGGGCUUGAUUUACAGUGCAAAAAUAUACAUCCUGAAUUUACUUCCUCUUUUGUUUUUGGACUGUCAUAGCAUCUCCACCUUAAAGAGAUGACAGCAAAUUACUUCAUAGGUAAAUAUAUGUAUGUAUAGGGAAGGAUAAAUAGCAGUCAUUCGGGUCAUUGUGAGAUGAACGUUCAGUAUAGCUUCAGAUCGGCUGUGUCAGACGUGACAAUAUAUUUUAAGCUUUUUGUUUUAAAAUUUUCAUUUUUUCUGCUUUUCUUUGAAGAAAUCAUCAUUCGCAAAUUUUGCAAGUUGGCAAUCUAACCUCUAAAUCCAUUCUAACGCAGAUUUAAGAUUGUGCAUUCAGUUCCUUAAGCAAUGUUUAGGUAUUACCAAUAUACUGAAAGAUAGAUGAGACAGCCUCAUGGUAAUACAGCUUUUAACCUUUCCUCUCCUCUACCAUGACGGGGGAGAAUUACAGUAAAUGAUGGUUACCUUGUCUGCAGUAUGGACAAUUGAUUUGACCUCACUGCAUCUGAUGCUCUAAUGGACUUUGUGGCUGAAUCCCUGGAGAUAUAAAAUAUGUCCAAGUGAAUUGGGGCAGGUUAAAGAACGGACCUGCUUUUCAUGGCUGGCUCAAGCUAUAAUAGAUCUCCCGGUUGUUCUGAGAAGAAGAUUAAAAAUGAUCAAUAUCCAAAUCAUUAAAAAAAAAAAGCGGUGGCUUCUGUAAAUCUACCAUAGGUGGGUUUUUUUCCUGCUAAACGCCGGAGGGGGGUGUCUGGGUUGAUAACGUGAGUUUCCAUAACAAAUGUUUACUUCUGUUUACUCUCUAGUAACAUGUUCCUUUUUAUAUUAAGACUCAGACACACAGAUGGCGUGAUUCAGCACUGCUUUCCUGAAGUCAUGCUUGUUUACACCAUGAAGAGUCAGGCCUUAGGUUUAUUUAAUAUAGAUAAAAUAACAAUACUAUAAUAUUUCCUGAAGCAGAAAAUAAAAUCAAGGACAGAUUUCAGAGAAUGAUGGCAACUGCGAUAACUGUGAACAUCCUCACAGUUCUGCUAGCCACAGUGUCUAAGACAAAAAUAAAGGUUUAAUUUAGUGAGGAAAAAAGAAAAAAAAGAUUUUCCUUGGCUGCUCUGAGUCCUUCAUUUGGCAAAGUGCAAUUGAACAUCUUGUUUAUCCUUUCCCACCCUCUCACGAACAUCUCUGCUCUUUUCUCACCAGCACACAACUGAGCUCAAGGUGAGUGUAAGUCUGUCCAGCCCCUGGAGGUGCCAGGAGAAAAGCUUUCACAGCCCACAGCUGGGAGCUCACCCACAGACCUUCCUCUCUACAUACAGCAGCAAUGGGGCAGGCAACUUCAGUGGGCUUAUACGUAUGCACAUGCUUAGCUUCCUGUAAAACCCAUGCAUUAAGGAGACAGAUGCACAGCUGUUCCAUCUGAGGCAUGCAUGUAUUGGUUUCUGCACUUAUUCAGUAAACUUGAAAUGCAGAGGAGCCCAAAUCUCUGUUCUGAACAGUUUGAGGUUGUUUGGAUCUGACAUCUCUGUGCGUUCACUGACAGAAAUAAGCUAAUUAUGAACCUGAGUUGGAAGAGGGAUGCCCUUUUUCUGAGUUUUGAGAAGUGUCUGGGCAGAGUAAUUGGACUGCCCUAUCUCAACUGCGUUACAGCAAUCGAGCAAAUGCGAAAAGUCUUCCUUAGAAAGGAAGAAAUAUGUGUUUUUAAGUGCUAGGACAAUUCCACGUAACAUCACGGUUUGCAUCUAUACCCACAGUACGCAGAGAUUCAUGCAGAUGUCCAACAAAUUGAAAAGGCUUCAAAUAUAUUUUAUCUAGUUGUAUGUUUAACAGUAUUUACCUUUUGCCUUUCACAGGUUGCUUUAAAAUCUGACUAUGUAAUAACAUCCUCUGAAUGAUUUAAUUUAAGCUAACGUGCUAUCCCUUUAUGUAAAAAGUAAAGGUAUUUUGAAAGCCCUUGCUGAAUACUCUGAGGUUGCCUCUACUGUGUGGCUAGCACUGGGCUGAAUGCCUAGCAUCCGUGCGUAGAAGAGGGAACAACUGCUGCCCCUCCGAUCUGGCUAUUCUUGUAUCUGGAAACAUUGUCAGGUGCUACAAGCAUCACGCCAUCUGAAAGGCCAAAGUUGAGUACUACGUUAUUGGAGUAGAUGACACCUUAUUCUUAUUCUUCAACAAUUCUAACAACUUAGAGUCCCUCACUGUCCCUUUAUGAACACAGAUGUCAUUCUGAGGGGGGGGACAGCCAAAAUGACAAGAAGGUGACCUGUCGGUGAACUCAGGAGCAGGUGAGGCCUGUCAGCUUCUAAUUUGAAACUGGUGUCAGUCCUGAGGAAUGGCUGGUAUAAUCACAUUUGUAACUGAUAUCCUAUAAACGCUGCAAACAUUCACAGUGCGCCUGUUAUGAGUAAUAUGAAAUUAACAAUUCGUGUUUAUGACACAAGACACCGACCGAAUCAAGCAGGUCUCCGUAACUGGAUCAGCUCCGUCUGUCUGCCAGAGCAGCGCAUCGAACUGCUUCAACCAAAGCCAAAUUACUGUGUGCUUAUGUUACAAUAGGCAUUGUAUUUAUUUUGAAGACAAACUUUUGUAACUAGGCGUAAAGUGAGGACCUCAGAACCAGCUUCUCGCUCAAGUUAUUGCAUAUAAAACUUCUCUUGCUCGAGCCCAGCCAUUAAGAUGUUCGUGACUUUUAAGUUAAGAGUUUGGGACCUAACAAAUCACGUGUUGUAUCUCACAUUUUCUGAAUAACUGAAGGGAAGGCUCUGUGUAAAUCUUCUCUCUCAGACACAUAAAUUACCAGCUGCGUGAAUACUGCCAUUAAGACAAGCAGACAAGUGCGAGGGGUGGGGACAGGGCAGGAUGCCCCAAAGAGGUGGAGUUACAGAGAAAACAAGGCAUUUGCUUACUGAGUAAUUUAUGCUUCAUCUGCCUUCACUGUAGCUCAGUAAGAAUGAACACCAUGAGGCAGUCUGUCAGGCGCUCUCACUUCACUACCGCCAAGGCAUUUUUCUGCAAAUUAGGUAUUUGCUUCCUAUUUCUAGUCACUUCCACCUGGAUUUUUUAUUAGGAAAAGUCAAAAUCAUAGUAUCUGAAGCUAAGAUUUGAAUUGAAGUUACACUAAAAGAUAAACUGUUGCUCAAGUACAUUUCACAUUUGAAGACAGCAAAAUCUCACAAUCCUUUGCACAAUUAUUUCCAGUCCAAACUGACAGAAGCUCUAAAGUUCGGGUCCUUUCCUGCCUGCACUGCUGCUGAGCCUGGUGCAUAGAUUAGAAGUUCCUUUCCAAUAACAAGCAAAAUAAAAGAAGAACCAUACGAAGAAUCUAUUGCAAUUGUUACACUGGAAUUUAGUUAGCAGAGCUACAAAAACACAAGUCCAAAUCCCAAGUAGCUAGUGGAGAUUUCUGAACAGUUCUGUACACCUUCACGUAGACAAUCCAGUGGAGCUAACAACCUACUGUAGCACUCUUUUGUGAUAGGCAAAUACCAUUCAUUUCCAUUUUCCACAGAAGAACUGCACUCCACAGAGCUUCAGCAAUGUAAACAAGGCCAGGUACAGCAUUACAGCUGUGGUUCAGGCAACAACAUUCCUCGUCCUCUGACACAACACUUACACAUCAUACUUGUAACACUACCUAGUUCAAGUUGGUGGUCAAUACCACCUAAUUAGCAGAGUAAAAGUGCAAUUUUGAAACCAACUUACAAAACUGCUACAACCAACCUACAAAACUCCAUCAUACCAAAGAAAAAUUAUGGCUCUAAAUUUCACAAUCACUCUCUGCCAACCAAAAACUCACCUUUAAGAAGAGUCAGGGCUGAAAGCUGAAAGUUGAGGCAGUCAUCUCUCAACGUGUAGAACUCCUCACGUUGCUAUGAAGGUACAGCACGGUUGUUCAGUGUUUGGAUAAAGUACUGCAUGGGAACUGUUGAAUCACAGCCUGAACCACCAAUUGAUCACCUGAGGCAAGGACUGAAUCAGCUGUGGGAGCACAGGUGAAAGCAAUUCAGCUAUGUGACCAGAAGCUGUGUGACCACAUUCCACCCCUCCCAGACCCCAUUUAAGGGCUGACUAACACUGGGGAAGAAUCUCCUUGUGGUGAUCCCUCCUUUGUGGAGCUUUUCAGUGUGAGCCUAAAUCUUUGCAUACAGGUGAGCAGUUCUUCUCUGUUUGUUCCUUUGCUAUCUCACUGCAGUACUCUUUCCAACUGUGCUUUGUAGACUAUACAACUACUUUGGUGGCUACUCAGAGAUUUUUUAGGAACUGAUAACAUAUGUUUUAAUUUUCCUCCUACUUGCACAGGUAUAAUUAUAUUAAUUCCCCACAUAGUUUAUGAGAAGAGCCUGCCCUGUGGAACAAGACCCAGCACAGCAGCAGGUUCCUGCAGCACCAGGUCAGCUCCAGAGGCUGAUAUCAGCAGCACCACCUCACAUAGCUCCUAGAGCUGGUAGGGUGCAGUGCCUCAGCUGGAUUGCUGCUGUAGCUUACCUGCAGGAGCCUUCUGCAUCACUGGUCAUAUAAAAUGCUCCUCUGCCAACAGAUGGAUUGCUUAUCAUUUUGAUUACUGGCUGUAAAUGUUCGUUAUUUUUUCAUUUCCUAGCUAAGCAAGCUUAUGUGUGUAUACAUUUUCUACAGUUUUCAUUAGAGUAACACUAAGACCUGGCAUAAGGCCAGGAGAGAGAAACUUAGAAUUAUUGAUUAAAAAAUACUCUUAGUUUCUUCCAGACCUUCAUUGUGACCCUCAUACUCCUGACGUUAAGGAGCAGCUGGCACCCCUCAGCUCAGCCCAUUACCUCUAGGGCUCCCCUGAGCACCUUGCACCCACCUGGCAGUGCUGUAGAAAGGAGGCUGUAGUGGGUGAUGCUGAGCUUCUGCUCCCAGUGCUGGGCCCAUGUGAGGCUGCUAGAAAACCAAAAGAAAACAUGGAGGGGGGGGGGGGGGGGGGGAAGCCCACAAAAAAAAAACCACCGUGAUCUGUUCUCGAAGGUGGAAAGUGGAAGAAUAAGACAAAAGCCUCUGUGGUCAGAGUAGACAUCUCUUAAGAUCUUGAGAAAAUUCCCCAUACAUAGAAAGAAGCAGCAGAGCACAUCUGUUUUCAUGACAUAGUUUGGUAAUAUCUUGAGCACUGCACUUCCUCUUGACCUCACAGCACCGCUUUCUGUUCAUACAAUUAAUACGGGGAAGCCACCAUUCCCACCAACUUUCAUUUUGAAGAUAAACAAAAUCACUCCUUUCAGGGUAAUCUUGAAGAAAUGAACUGCAGCAAAUCUACAACCAGGCAUACCCAGUGAAGAGAUGUUGGAGGGAAAAUGGGGAUAUAAAUGUAUGGCCCAAUUCUAAUUUUAUUCAUUUCUAGUACAUUGGGGUAGGCAGAAUUGGAGUAGGAAAAAAAGGAAGUUUGACUUCUGGGGUUGUCUUUCUAUAUCAUGCUGAAUGGAGAGCAACACAGCACAUAAGCUCACUGGGUGGGAGAUGGGACUUGAACAUGAGGUAUUUCUCUAAGCAGCUUGAAUCAAGGGCUUAAGCACGAGCAGCCUGUAUCUCAUCCAGCUCCUGUAACUGCUAUCUUGUGGGGAUCUUAUCCCAGACUUCAUGAAUAUUUAGCGAGGCUUCCAAAAUAAAUUGGCACUCUCAGUAUACACUGAGACCAUGAACCAAUGAUUGGGAAACUAGUCUGGUUCAAAUCCUUGCUCUGCUCCGUUCCCUCGCAGGUGUAGUGACAAGUUCAUAAAUAACAGCUCUUUGCUGACUGUAGGGCUCCCAUACACGAGUGCCCUAAUCAGUGAAGAAUUUUUUUUCCCCUCUAUACAGCAGUUCCAUCUGCUUCAGAAAGUUUCCCCUCAAAACCAAUGCAUUUACAAGGUAAGUGCUAGUUUUGGUGACUCAGUGCUUUCUUUAAAAAGAAUACCACAGUAUUUCAGUCAAAAACCAUAAUCAACAUGAACUGAAAUGACACAGGUUUCUAAGCCCUUGGCUGCAUGGCAGCCUGCGUGCAGCCCCGGGGCAAGUUCCAGCACUGCAGCAGCGACCAAUGAAAAAUCCUUGAAGCAGAAAGGCAGCAUUAAAGCCAUCCAUUAAGCAGUGUUUACGUUUACUGUGAGGUGAAUUACAAAAACUCCCUGGCAGUGUUUGAAAUCUGAGGGCCUAGGAAAGCCAUCUGGGAAUGGUACCUCAGACACAUACUGUUAUCGUAGUAGCAAAAUUGAUGGCUGCAUCUUACCUGCUGGAGCUCUUCUUCUGCUUCCCCAGGAAUCAGCACAGCAAAGGCAGUGGGAUGCCCAAGACUCACAGCCUUUCCUGUUUCUUCUCAUUGGUGUAGGCCUGCAGAAGGACAAUAUAGAUUUAGUCAAAGGAGACAGCAUGGAAGCAGACCUGGAUGCAUGUGACAGAACUGGAGGCAUCCCAGUGUAAUUAAUGAGCAGUGAAGCAAGUUGUUAUUUAUGUUGCCUGUUUCUAAUGAAUGGGAAUUAGCCAUGUCUUUGAUUCUUAGGUGGCUAUUUAUGCUGCUUAUCUGAUAUCUGAAAGGAAACUGUUCUGAAUAUUUUCUAGUCCAAGGAGGACUGGGUGGCUAAAACAAGACCUAACUUGUGCUUUUGGCAAAACAUUAGGAAACUAGUUUCCAAUUUUGGAAGUGUCUGCAUGUAGUUUUCCAUAGGUUUUUUUUUCUUUCUUUGAGUUUUCCUGACUUCAGUCAGGAGGUGAAAUGCCAGAAAUACCCAGAGACAACAUAUCCAACAAGACCGCUCCCCCACAGGCACUGCAGCCCACCGGGUGUUUUUCCAAACCACCCCUGAACUCUGAACCUCCAAAUCAUUCACAGAUCUCUUCCACUGGGAGAUGAAACCACAUCGCUGCACGACUGCAGGAAGGAGCAUGGUGGGGAGCCGUGAGGAAAGCUGUGCUUUCCAUUGCCUUCCUGAGCUGGGAUGAGUGGUGGCCGCGCUCGCUGCAUCAGCCCCUGCUCGGGCUGGGCGCUGUGAGGGAUAAGCACGAGCUGGGCAGCAUUAGUCCUGUGGUCACCCAGAGCGUGAGCACUGCCCUGUUUCUGCUCCAGCUGAAGCCUGAAUGGAGCUUAGCUGGGAGAGGCCUCCAUUUCCCAUUACACAAUGGUAUUUUCUGUUAGACACUAAAGCCCUCUGUCCCUGAUGAUAAGCUGGUUUUUAUUAUAAAAUAUAACAGUUGUAUUUUACACAGCUCUUCUGUACAAUGCAAUUUACGGAGCUAUUCUGCUGGCUCUGUCAUUGACAGGGUGCCCUUUACAGCAGGACUUGUAGCACACCAAAAUUUUCAUGAUCCUAAGCUAGCGGGAAAAGAAAUAUUUCCAUGGGUGAAAAUUCCGGUUAGGUAACUAUUAUUGAAGUGUGUACGAGAUUGCAUGUCAAAACAUUUUUAUUGUUGGCUGGUUGGAAUCACAUUGACUGACAGCAGCAGUUUAACAACUGAAGCACAGCGCAGUUUGUUAUUGUACCUGUUUCUCCAUGGAACUGCUCUGUAUUUUAGCAGCUGCUAUCAUUUCUAAGUUACGAAGCCUGCCUUUAGAAAUGUGUGUUCCCUCUCUCCCGCUUACAGUACCCUUACUGAGCUGGCACAAGACAAGCGAGUAAUAAAAGGAAUGUAAAGUGUUUUAAUUUUGUCUUGUUAUAUGGCAUUACAUUGCCAUGGCCUCUUGAUAACAUAACAAAUGUAUACAGGAAAUACAGCUCAAGUGAGCAUGGAAACAGUGGGAGGAGAAGGGGUGUUAGGUUUGGUUGCUUGGUGGGGGCUGUUUGUGCUGGCUUUUC
ensembl:lncRNA